CGACUCCGUGAAGCUGGAUUCGCUAGUAAUCGCGCAUCAGCCAUGGCGCGGUGAAUACGUUCCCGGGCCUUGUACACACCGCCCGUCAAGCCAUGGGAGCCGGGGGUGCUUGAAGUGCGUCGCCGCGAGGCGCGCCCUAGAGCAAAACCGGUGACUGGGGCUAAGUCGUAACAAGGUAAC
rnacentral:rRNA from 1 species